rnacentral:rRNA from 1 species
UACGUAGGUGGCAAGCGUUAUCCGGAAUUACUGGGCGUAAAGCGCGCGCAGGCGGCGCGGUAAGUCUGAUGUGAAAUCUCCCGGCUUAACUGGGAGGGGUCAUUGGAAACUGCCGAGCUUGAGGCGAUGAGAGGGGUGUAGAAUUCCCGGUGUAGUGGUGGAAUGCGUAGAUAUCGGGAGGAAUACCAGUGGCGAAAGCGGCGCCCUGGCAUUAGCCUGACGCUCAUGUGCGAAGGCGUGGGGAGCGAACGGG